rnacentral:lncRNA from 1 species
UUUGAACGGCUUGUUGCACGUGCUAAGUGCAAUCGUAAUGCUCUACGAAAGUGAGUAUUUAUUUUAAUUCAUGCAUAUUGAUAUAUAUUAAUAAACAAUACUUUUGCACCCUCAUUUUAUCAUUUUCAUACUAAAUUGCUAGAGACUAGCAAUAAGCUAGUUGGGGGGUGUGAUGAGAGCACAAAAGUACAAUCUUCAUACCAUCUUAAUUAGUAUUAUAGCUAAUCAUUAUUGAUAAAA